UCUCCAUUUAAGGGUAGAUCUCUGAAAAACACUGUGGAUGUUUUUUUGUAAUUAUUUUAAUAUUGAAAUGGCUGGGCUGUGGACUGCUUAUCUCUUUAUCUGGAUAGCUGUUUCAAGUGCCACAGCCACAGAUAAAGUGUGCAGCUACUACGAUGUUUACCGAUAUCUGAACCUCUCGCAAAGCAAUGAGCUCUUAACUUCAGUGCGACCAGUGAAAGACUGGAGAACUCCCACCACAGUGUAUCUGUCAGCUAACAUCUAUGCCAUACUGGGAGUGGUUGAGAAGACCCAAGUUUUUACAUCUUUUUUCCAAGUGCAAAUG